GACCGCUCUGGUUGCCUAGUGGUUAGAGCGUCCGCCUCGGAAGCGGGAGGUCGUGGAUUCCAUUCCCGGUCGAGUCA